AACAUGUUAAGGUCAGGUGCACGCCUUUGGUUAGGCUUGAAGAGGGAGGAAGCCACUGUCUUGAUUUCUCCACGAUCCUUCAGGUGAGGUAGGGUCUUUCACCAAGGUCAAGGUCAGGUGUACAUCUUUGGUUAGGCUUUGGAAGAAGGAAGCUACUGUCUUGAUUUCUCCCCGAUUUUCUGAGUGAGGCAAUGUGAACGCACUCUUUCGAGUGCAUCAUUCACUAUCCUUCAGGUGGGGUGGAUCCAAUUACUAGGGUCAAGGUCGGAUGCGUGUCUUUGGUCAGGUUUAAAGGGGAGGAGCCACUAUCUCGCUUUCUCCGCGAUCUUCUAGGUGAGGUGGUAUCGUCUCUUCAAGGUCAGGUUUACACCCGCUGUUAGUUUUAGACAAGGUGAAUAGGCUCUUGCAUGUGCAUCGUUCACGAUCCCUUGGGUGAAGUGAAUCCGCUUACCAAGGUCAAGGUCAGGUGCAUGUCUCUUGGUUAGGCUCGAAAGGAAGGGGUUACUGUCUCAAUUUCUCCAGUAUCUUCUAGGUAAGGUGAACACAGUCUUAUAAGUACGUUGUUCGCGAUUCUUUGGCGAGGUAAAUCCGCUUGUCAGGGCCAGGGUCAAGUGUAUGCCUUUAUUGAUGAUGUAAAUGACAAUGAAUAAAGACGAGUCUUAAUUUUUAGUA